rnacentral:rRNA from 1 species
CAAUAGCGUAUAUUAAAGUUGUUGCGGUUAAAAGCUCGUAGUUGGAUUUCUGCCGAGGACGACCGGUCCGCCCUCUGGAUCGUGUACUGAUCGGUCUGUUCUUCUUCGCGAAGACCGCGUGUGCCCUUAACUGGGUGGGCGCGGGAUUCGCGACGUUUACUUUGAAAAAUUAGAGUGUUCAAAGCAGGCAGUCGCUUGAAUAUCUCAGCAUGGAAUAAUAGAAUAGGACUUUGGUCUUAUUUUGUUGGUUUCCGAGACCGAAGUAAUGAUUAAUAGGGACAGUUGGGGGCAUUCGUAUUUCAUUGUCAGAGGUGAAAUUCUUGGAUUUAUGAAAGACUAACUACUGCGAAAGCAUUUGCCAAGGAUGUUUUCAUUAAUCAAGAACGAAAGUUAGGGGAUCGAAGAUGAUCAGAUACCA